GCAAACUUGGUCAUUUAGAGGAAGUAAAAGUCGUAACAAGGUUUCCGUAGGUGAACCUGCGGAAGGAUCAUUAUUGAAUGUUGCUUGAUGGGUUGUAGCUGGCUCUUCGGGGCAUGUGCACGCCUGUCUUGACUACUAUUCAUCCACCUGUGCACACUUUGUAGUCUUUUCGGGGUCUGGGAAGCGGGUCGACUUUUGUCGGCUCGUGUUGAACCUCCCUCGGGGACUAUGUCUUUAUUCAUACACCAUGUAGUAUGUUGCAGAAUGUAUUCAAUGGGCCCUCGUGCCUAUAAAACCUUAUACAACUUUCAGCAACGGAUCUCUUGGCUCUCGCAUCGAUGAAGAACGCAGC
rnacentral:misc_RNA from 1 species